rnacentral:tmRNA from 1 species
GGGGAUGUUUUUGGGAUUCGACAGGCGUAGAUUCGCAUUGACUGCGAUUCGUAGGUUACGUCUACGUAAAAACGUUACAGUUAAAUAUAACUGCAAAUAACAAAAAUUCUUACGCAUUAGCUGCUUAAUUUAGCGCAUGCGUUGCUCUUUGUCGGUUUACUCGUGGCUGACACUGAGUAUCAACUUUAGCGAGUUACGUUUAACUAUCUCACCUGAAUAGUUGAAAAGAGUCUUAACAGGUUAGCUAGCUCAUCCUAGCCCUGUUAUAUGGCGUUUUGAGCUAGUGAAGUUCAAGUAAUAUAACUAUGAUCGUAGAGGUCAGUGACGGAAUGCGUUUGGACAGGGGUUCAACUCCCCUCAUCUCCA